CGGGACGGGUGAGUAAUGUCUGGGAAACUGCCUGAUGGAGGGGGGUAACUACUGGAAACGGUAGCUAAUACCGCAUAACGCCGCAAGACCAAAGAGGGGGACCUUCGGGCCUCUUGCCAUCGGAUGUGCCCAGAUGGGAUUAGCUAGUAGGUGGGGUAACGGCUCACCUAGGCGACGAUCCCUAGCUGGUCUGAGAGGAUGACCAGCCACACUGGAACUGAGACACGGUCCAG
rnacentral:rRNA from 1 species